rnacentral:rRNA from 1 species
CAGGCCUAACACAUGCAAGUCGAACGGUAACAGAGAGUAGCUUGCUACUUUGCUGACGAGUGGCGGACGGGUGAGUAAUGUCUGGGGAUCUGCCUGAUGGAGGGGGAUAACUACUGGAAACGGUAGCUAAUACCGCAUAAUGUCGCAAGACCAAAGCGGGGGACUUUCGGGCCUCGCACCAUCAGAUGAACCCAGAUGGGAUUAGCUAGUAGGUAGGGUAAUGGCUUACCUAGGCGACGAUCCCUAGCUGGUCUGAGAGGAUGACCAGCCACACUGGAACUGAGACACGGUCCAGACUCCUACGGGAGGCAGCAGUGGGGAAUAUUGCACAAUGGGCGCAAGCCUGAUGCAGCAACGCCGCGUGAGGGACGACGGCCUUCGGGUUGUAAACCUCUUUUGGCAGGGAAGAAGCGAAAGUGACGGUACCUGCAGAAAAAGCACCGGCUAACUACGUGCCAGCAGCCGCGGUAAU